GUGGGGAAUAUUGCGCAAUGGGGGAAACCCUGACGCAGCAACGCCGCGUGAUUGAAGAAGGCCUUCGGGUUGUAAAGAUCUUUAAUUCGGGACGAAUUUUGAUGGUACCGAAAGAAUAAGCUCCGGCUAACUACGUGCCAGCAGCCGCGGUAAUACGUAGGGAGCAAGCGUUAUCCGGAUUUACUGGGUGUAAAGGGCGCGCAGGCGGGCCGGCAAGUUGGAAGUGAAAUCCGGGGGCUUAACCCCCGAACUGCUUUCAAAACUGCUGGUCUUGAGUGAUGGAGAGGCAGGCGGAAUUCCGUGUGUAGCGGUGAAAUGCGUAGAUAUACGGAGGAACACCAGUGGCGAAGGCGGCCUGCUGGACAUUAACUGACGCUGAGGCGCGAAAGCGUGGGGAGCAAACAGGAUUAGAUACCCCUGUAGUCC
rnacentral:rRNA from 1 species